rnacentral:rRNA from 1 species
GACGUAGGGCGCGAGCGUUGUCCGGAUUUAUUGGGCGUAAAGAGCUCGUAGGCGGUCUGUCGCGUCGGCUGUGAAAACUCGGGGCUCAACCCCGAGCCUGCAGUCGAUACGGGCAGACUAGAGUCCGGCAGGGGAGACUGGAAUUCCUGGUGUAGCGGUGAAAUGCGCAGAUAUCAGGAGGAACACCAAUAGCGAAGGCAGCUCGCUGGGACGUUACUGACACUGGAGGCGCGAAAGCGUGGGGAGCGAACAGG